rnacentral:rRNA from 1 species
GACAGAGACCUCGAGCGUUAGGCGGAAUCACUGGGCUUAAAGCGUGUGUAGGCGGGCCCGUAAGUGUCUUGUGAAAUCCCACGGCUCAACCGUGGAACUGCUGGGCAUACUGCGGGUCUUGGGCCAACUAGGGGCAGCCGGAACAAGCGGUGGAGCGGUGAAAUGCGUAGAUAUCGCUUGGAACGCCGAAGGUGAAAACAGGCUGCUGGGGUUGCGCCGACGCUGAGACACGAAAGCCAGGGGAGCAAACGGG